GUGCCACCGGCCGCGGUAAUACGGAGGGUGCAAGCGUUAAUCGGAAUUACUGGGCGUAAAGCGCACGCAGCGGGUUGUUAAGUCAGAUGUGAAAUCCCCGGGCUCAACCUGGGAACUGCAUCUGAUACUGGCAAGCUUGAGUCUCGUAGAGGGGGGGUAGAAUUCCAGGUGUAGCGGUGAAAUGCGUAGAGAUCUGGAGGAAUACCGGUGGCGGAGGCGGCCCCCUGGACGAAGACUGACGCUCAGGUGCGAAAGCGUGGGGAGCAAACAGGAUUAGAUACCCUGGUAGUCC
rnacentral:rRNA from 1 species